CACGGAGUUAGCCGGUGCUUCUUCUGUGGGUAACGUCCAGUUAACCAGCUCUUAACCAGUCAACCCUCCUCCCCACUGAAAGUGCUUUACAACCCUCAGGCCUUCUUCACACACGCGGUAUUGCUGGAUCAGGGUUGCCCCCAUUGUCCAAUAUUCCCCACUGCUGCCUCCCGUAGGAGUCUGGACCGUGUCUCAGUUCCAGUGUGGCUGGUCAUCCUCUCAGACCAGCUAACGAUCGUCGCCUUGGUAGGCCUUUACCCUACCAACUAGCUAAUCGUACGCAGGCUAAUCUUAAAGCGCCAGGCCCGAAGGUCCCCAGCUUUUUCCAAGGAAAUUAUGCGGUAUUAGCUUGAGUUUCCCCAAGUUGUCCCCCACUUUAAGGCAUAUUCCUACGCGUUACUCACCCGUUCGCCACUCGUCAUCAACUUAGCAAGCUAAGCCAUGCUACCGUUCGACUUGCAUGUGUUAAGCAUACCGCCAGCGUUCAAUCUGAGCCAGGAUCAAACUCU
rnacentral:rRNA from 1 species